AGAUGGCGACCGGCGCACGGGUGAGUAACACGUAUCCAACCUGCCGAUGACUCGGGGAUAGCCUUUCGAAAGAAAGAUUAAUACCCGAUGGCAUAGUUCUUCCGCAUGGUAGAACUAUUAAAGAAUUUCGGUCAUCGAUGGGGAUGCGUUCCAUUAGGUUGUUGGCGGGGUAACGGCCCACCAAGCCUUCGAUGGAUAGGGGUUCUGAGAGGAAGGUCCUCCACAUUGGAACUGAGACACGGUCCAAACUCCUACGGGAGGCAGCAUG
rnacentral:rRNA from 1 species